GAUGAACGCUGGCGGCGUGCCUAAUACAUGCAAGUCGAGCGAACAGAUAAGGAGCUUGCUCCUUUGACGUUAGCGGCGGACGGGUGAGUAACACGUGGGUAACCUACCUAUAAGACUGGAAUAACUCCGGGAAACCGGGGCUAAUGCCGGAUAACAUUUAGAACCGCAUGGUUCUAAAGUGAAAGAUGGUUUUGCUAUCACUUAUAGAUGGACCCGCGCCGUAUUAGCUAGUUGGUAAGGUAACGGCUUACCAAGGCAACGAUACGUAGCCGACCUGAGAGGGUGAAUGGCCACACUGGAACUGGGACACGGUCCAGACUCCUACGGGAGGCAGCAGUAGGGAAUUUUCCGCAAUGGGCGAAAGCCUGACGGAGCAACGCCGCGUGAGUGAUGAAGGUCUUCGGAUCGUAAAACUCUGUUAUUAGGGAAGAACAAAUGUGUAAGUAACUGUGCACGUCUUGACGGUACCUAAUCAGAAAGCCACGGCUAACUACGUG
rnacentral:rRNA from 1 species